UUUCACGGUCCAGACUCCUACGGGAGGCAGCAGUAGGGAAUAUUGCUCAAUGGGGGAAACCCUGAAGCAGCAACGCCGCGUGGAGGAUGAACGCGUCUUCGGAUUGUAAACUCCUUUUCUAUAGAGGAAGAUAUAUGACGCGUGAUCUCUAGGAAUAAGCACCGGCGUAUACUCCGUGCGCACGCACGCCGCGGUAAUACGGAGAGGUGGCGACAGCGUUACUCGCGAAUCACUGGGCGUAAAGGGC
rnacentral:rRNA from 1 species